rnacentral:rRNA from 1 species
AUUGUACGCUGGCGGCAUGCCUUACACAUGCAAGUCGAACGGUAACAGGUCUUCGGAUGCUGACGAGUGGCGAACGGGUGAGUAAUACAUCGGAACGUGCCUAGUAGUGGGGGAUAACUACUCGAAAGAGUGGCUAAUACCGCAUGAGAUCUACGGAUGAAAGCAGGGGAUCGCAAGACCUUGUGCUACUAGAGCGGCCGAUGGCAGAUUAGGUAGUUGGUGGGAUAAAAGCUUACCAAGCCGACGAUCUGUAGCUGGUCUGAGAGGACGAUCAGCCACACUGGGACCGAGACACGGCCCAGACUCCUACGGGAGGCAGCAGUGGGGAAUUUUGGACAAUGGGCGCAAGCCUGAUCCAGCAAUGCCGCGUGCAGGAUGAAGGCCUUCGGGUUGUAAACUGCUUUUGUACGGAACGAAAAGCCCUGGGUUAAUACCCUGGGGUCAUGACGGUACCGUAAGAAUAAGCACCAGCUAACUACGUGCCAGCCGCCGCCGUAAGAC